rnacentral:lncRNA from 1 species
AGGAGACCUGUGGGAGACUAGCUCCCAGGCCCUGCUCCCAUCCGCUGUUCAUGCGGCUGUGACACCAGCCACCAGCAUCCUCUUUGGCCAUCCCUACGUCUCUUGUUCUCUGGCCACUCUGCUGCCUGCUCUAGCCCAACUCCAGCCCAUUCACGCCCCUGCCUUUGGUACCAGCUACUUUCUCCACUCAUCACCUACCCUUAACUAUAGGCCGCCCUGCCAUGGUCCAGCAGAAAGUGAGACCCUCCCCAGGACUCUUCCUUUCAGAUCGGCCCCAUCUCCGCUGAAGGUGGAGGGACUCCUAUAUUGAUGAGGAGAUCCAGGGACUCUUAUAGUAGUGAGGAGAUCCAGGCCCUACUACUCUAAGCUGAUAUAAAUGGGGCCCAGCCAGGCAGGGUGAAGGCCACUGAGCGAAUCUACCUCACAGGCUACACUCUGUCAGGCAUGCCACGGGGGAUGUGAGUGAUAGGGUUCCGUGGGGAGGGUCCCAAGGGGCUGUGGAGAGGGGGGUGGGGUUCCAAAGGGAUUGGCCUUUUCAGGGUAGACUUCAGCACUCUGCCUUGACUCCCCACGGAGUGCCUGAUGUGUUUAUGUGCACUGGCAAUAGGACACGGGGCGGCACCCCUUUCACGCUACCCUUCCUUGAGUUUGUCACCAGCGAUGGCACUCGUCAGCACCAGAUCGCAUGGGGACUCCCUGUCACCAGACAGGCCGUAGUGAAACCCGUGCCGCUGCUCCAUAGCUCAUGUGCUUGCUUCACGCUUUACGUGUGUGUACGUGCGUGUCCCUUGCUGUGUUGUGGAACUGUGACGUCACCCCAGUCUAAGUGAACGGCCACCGGGGCCACCGUUAUGCAAUGUUCCUCGUGUCACUGCUCGUGAAACUCGAUGACUCUUUGUUUUACUACAAUGCCUCAAGAGCCCCCGGGACCCCUGCAGGACUUGCAAAGGUUUUAUUUUUUCGGUCUUAGAACCUGUGAGAAUCGGAGGGGCCAAGCCCAGCCCAGCUCAGCAGCCGUGGCCCUGGCUUGUUUGCCUUAGUGGAUAUGUUUAUACAGAGGAAUAUAAAUUCCCUUUACUUUUGGCUGUUUGCAUUUUAUUUUUGGUUCCCCCCUCUCAACACCUCUCCCCCGACCCCACUCCCCCAAAAAAUGAAAAAAGCUUCAUUCGGUGGUACGAUUAUUUUUUUUAACUAAAAGGAGAUAAAAUUCUAUAUUCUUAUGUGUGCGUGGUUUUUCAUGACCAACCGGAGACAAAGGCGGACAGGAUUUAUUCUGGAUCUAGGCGGCCACAGCAAGUGCCCAGGGAGGAGGGCACUCUUGCUGGAGAAAUCUGUCCCUUAGCAUCUGUAAAACAGUGAUCUAAGCACCCAUAUUAAACCCACUUCAUCCUUAAAGGAGCUCACC